GAUGAACGCUGGCGGCGUGCCUAAUACAUGCAAGUCGAGCGAACAGACGAGGAGCUUGCUCCUCUGACGUUAGCGGCGGACGGGUGAGUAACACGUGGAUAACCUACCUAUAAGACUGGGAUAACUUCGGGAAACCGGAGCUAAUACCGGAUAAUAUAUUGAACCGCAUGGUUCAAUAGUGAAAGACGGUUUUGCUGUCACUUAUAGAUGGAUCCGCGCCGCAUUAGCUAGUUGGUAAGGUAACGGCUUACCAAGGCAACGAUGCGUAGCCGACCUGAGAGGGUGAUCGGCCACACUGGAACUGAGACACGGUCCAGACUCCUACGGGAGGCAGCAGUAGGGAAUCUUCCGCAGUGGGCGAAAGCCUGACGGAGCAACGCCGCGUGAGUGAUGAAGGUCUUCGGAUCGUAAAACUCUGUUAUUAGGGAAGAACAAAUGUGUAAGUAACUAUGCACGUCUUGACGGUACCUAUCAGAAAGCCACGGCUAACUACGUG
rnacentral:rRNA from 1 species